AAAAAACCGAGAUGAGGCCCAUGGCCGCUCUAGAAUCCCAUAGCCGCUCUAGAACAAUUCUGGAGUACGACGGCGAGUCAUCAACAGUGCCACCAUCUUCGCCUCCGAUCUCCAAUUCGCUCCCGUUCAAUCUCCCCGCCCCGAGUCCACCUCAUCCAUCUCUCCUCCACUCGCACCGCGCCGCCACCAUCUCCCGCGCCGCCACCAUCUCUCGCCUCCGAUGAAUAGACUAAAACUUCUGGGUUCAUCUAAAAACUCGAUCCUUUUCCUCUCUAGAAAGGUUUCUGGUCACUCUUGGACUUCUCCGGCAGUAGGUUCGCAGUUUGAUAUUAUCAGGGGAAGGGACGCUAUCUCGCCAUUUGUUAGAGCAAUCUCUCACCUUUCAACGCGUUAUGAAGCUAAUCUUGGCAUUGCUAGAAGAGCUCAUGACUUAUUGAGAUUGAAGAAAGUUUUGUUAAGCCAGUCAUUUCAUGCAACAGGACCUUGUCAUGCCAUUGAGAAGGACUACUAUGAAAUCCUUAGUGUCCCAAAAAAUGCUUCAUUAGAUGACAUCAAGAAGGCUUUUCAUGAGCUUGCUAAGAAGUACCAUCCAGAUGCAAACAAGAACAAUCCUGCAUCAAAGAGAAAGUUUCAAGAGAUAAGAGAUGCAUAUGAGACAUUGCGGGAUCCCGAGAAGAGAGCACAUUAUGACAAGAAUUUCUCCAGAGGACCAGAGAGGGCAAGGUACUCUGCAGAUAGUACAGAGGAGUUCCGUGAAGCUUAUCGUGAUCCUUUCUCAGAAUUCCACCAAUCCAACCGUGGUCCUUUCUCAAGUUCAUUUUACAGAAUUUUCUCGGAGGUCUUUGAAAAUGAGAGAGAAACAUAUGCAGAUGAUGUAGAGGUGGAGCUAAAUCUUUCAUUUGCUGAAGCUGCUAAAGGUUGUAUUAAGAAGGUGUCUGUUGGUGCACAAGUUCUCUGUAACUCAUGCUAUGGAAGAGGCCAUCCAGUUAAUACAAAGCCAGUGAGAUGCCCUACCUGUGAUGGCGUUGGAAGGGUCUCAGUGUUUCCUUUUACAUCCACAUGCCGAUCAUGCAAAGGGUCAGGGAAGAUAAUCAAGGAUUAUUGCGCAACCUGCAGGGGGUCAGGGUUCGUUGAUGGUGUGAAGAAUGUUGAUGUAAAUAUUCCAGCAGGGGUUGAUUCUGGGGAUACUAUUUGUGUGCCAAAUGCUGGAAAUCAAGGAGGACGGGGCGCCCAUCCUGGCGAUCUAAACAUUAAAUUGAAGGUAGGAAAGGACCCUGUUUUCACACGAGAUGGUGCUGAUGUAUAUGUUGACACCCAUAUAAGUUUCACUCAGGCUAUUCUUGGUGGUAAGGUUGAAGUUCCCACUUUGACUGGCAAAGCAGAAUUGAAGAUACCAAAAGGAGUGCAGCCAGGACAAUUGUUAGUUCUAAGGGGUAGAGGUUUGCCAAAGCAAGUUGGCCUAGUCGAUCAUGGCGACCAAUAUGUGCGAUUCCGUGUGCAUUUUCCUUCAUCUGUAACAGUACGCCAACGAGAAUUGUUGGAAGAAUUUGCUAAAGAGGAGGCGGAACAGGAAAGCUAUGUGUUCGCUAAUGGAAACUGAGCUCAAUUGAGUGAUAAGAUCGAUGUAGGGAUAAACACGACUUGAUGACGAUGACGAUUUUAUGGAAGGUGUGGUUGAUCUUGCCAAUAAUAACUGCUGUUUUAUUUCUAUGACCUAGUUGAAGCUCUAUGAAGAGGCUAUAUCAACAGAUUUACCAGCAGCUCUCUACUGGUUGAAAUUACAGGUGGCAGCAAGUCGUGAAUUGUGUGAGCGAUCCCAGGUUCAUGCUCGGCAUUGCCUUUCUCAUGUUGCUUAACUUACUGGUGAGAAAAAGCUUGAGCUGAAGGGGCUGAUGCAUGGCCCAAACUAUCAGGCGCCGUUAAGCAUUUGGAGGAAGUCCUGAUCGAGCGUGCUAAAGCUAAGCAAAUGCCUGGAUUUGCAUGGUAGAUGAGCCAAGGCAUAGAAUCAAAUUAACAUCUGGACCAAUUUUUUCUUGGUAGGAUUCAGAUGCCUAAUUGGUGAGAAGGCAUUUAUUUAUUUUUCCCCCCUAAUAGAAUAAAGCAAUUUACUUUUUGAUACCUUAAGCCAUGGAAAGUGAGUCUUCCAAUCUGGAUACUAUAUAUUUGUUCUAGCUGCCCACCUUACAAUGAUAAAAGAAAAUAUUAUUUGCAUGCAUUAUCGUGUUGGAAUUUGUAACUUGAUUCAAAAUUUUGCAAGUAAAAUGAAAUGUAUUGGUUGUAGUUAA